UAGAGAUCUGGAGGAAUACCGGUGGCGAAGGCGGCCCCCUGGACGAAGACUGACGCUCAGGUGCGAAAGCGUGGGGAGCAAACAGGAUUAGAUACCCUGGUAGUCCACGCCGUAAACGAUGUCGACUUGGAGGUUGUGCCCUUGAGGCGUGGCUUCCGGAGCUAACGCGUUAAGUCGACCGCCUGGGGAGUACGGCCGCAAGGUUAAAACUCAAAUGAAUUGACGG
rnacentral:rRNA from 1 species